rnacentral:lncRNA from 10 species
GGGGUUUCACCACGUUGGCCAGGCUGGUCUCGAACUCCUGACCUCAGAUGAUCCACCCUCCUUGGCCUCCCAAAGUGCUGGGAUUGCAGGCGUGAGCCACCGCCUGGCCACCAUUUUACUCUUUUUAGGUACAGUAAUCUAAUAUCCAAAGUCUUGGACUCAGCUAAAGAGGGUAUUUACCUUAAAAAAAAAAAAAAAAAGACUCCAUCUUUUGAUUCAUAAUUGUGGUGGGGGCGGGGAAUCAAGACAACCUUAGUCACUUUGGUAUUACCAUAAUUCUUGUCUUUUCAGGGUUGUCCUGUUCAGCUGCAUAAAACAUCAUGUAUUCUAGGUAUUUCCUACCUUCACUUACAUUUUUACUUGCCGAUGUGCUGCCUUCAUAAAUGGGUAUAUUCCGCCACACAUCUAGUAAGCCCCCAAUGCAGUACACAAUGUGUAUCACUGAUAAAACUCGCACUUCUGCCAUGUCAGUAUUAUAUUCAGUUGAGUGGUCUUUAGCAUAGUGGCAGUCCUAGUCAUCCUAACCUUUUAGUUAAGGUAAAAUUACAUAUGUUUAUAGAACUCAUAUAGACAAGCUAGUUUUUAAAAUCUUCCUUUUAACCAGUUUAGGAUGAUCUAGGAUAGCUAAGUUACCUACAUGGUGACUGUUCGGUCUAAUUCAGAAACAGAAGUACUAAAAGAAUACUAAAAAGUUUUUACCCAUUAUCUCUAUCCCUGUUUUCUUUUUGCAAUUCUCAGCUGCAGGGAGCAAGAAAAUACACAGCAGAUAGGAAAUGUUUGUUUGCAUCCUGGCUUUCUCAACCGCACUUUACGUCCUUGAAUAUUCUAGAUAUUUACUCCUUCAAGAAGUCAGGAGUAUAUCCAGGCCUACCUAUCAUCCUUGCCAUCCCCAUUAACCCUCAUUUUUCAGUAUGUGUUUUACAUUUAUGGUUAUUUUUCAGUCUAUAGUAUCUGUUCACUCAUUGCUCUAUCACAUCUGAGUUUCUCCGUCUUUCUUUCCACUAGAUUGUAAGCUCCUUAAGGGCAAGGUCGGCAUAUAAGCAAAGUUCUGUAAACACCGUGAAGGUACCAUGAGUUCUAUGGGUACUCAAUAAAUGCUUGUGAUAAUGA